rnacentral:misc_RNA from 1 species
AUUGUUUCGAACGACCGCUUUUUUCAUUAAAAGAGGUCGGAUCGGUAUUGAGGGUCUAUUGCCAUUCACCGUGGCUCCCUCGAAAUGCAUUAGCGCAUCCAUUUGAUAGGCAAAGACGGACGAAAGCUCGCUAUUUCGCCCUCUUUUUCCCUGCCGGGUUUUGAUAAUAUCAGGACUUCGGAGGCGAAGAAAGGGCAAGAGCUGGACGCAACGACUUUGCUGUUUGGCGUGCUUCUGAAACCCGCCCAUUGCCUCUGCAAAGAGGAAGGGAUUUUAUUCAAUU